CCCUUUUCUGAAGUGAAAGUAGAAAUUCAUGAGUGAUGAUUUGGAUAUUUUGAGCUGGUUUAAGUCUUUAAAUCAACUAGAAUUUUAUAUUUGAUACUUAAGUGUUUGUCGGAGCCCGUUAUGCUCUCGGUGGGUAGCUUUCAAUGAUGAUGUAUCAGUGAAUUUACGCUGCGAUCGUGAUUACAACAGGGAGAACUUGUAUGCAAAAACUUCCGAAAAGAUUAGCCGAAAAAGAAACGCACAGGUGGCAUUAAAUGUGCUCAAUGCUGUUGUCAUAACAAUUCAGAUCCCUCUGACAGUCAGGGGUGCAGAUUCAAGAUUGGAUGUUCUAAAUGAAAUUAAGACAGAAAUAUUUUCUGUGAGGAAUGUACAAGACUCAGCAUCAUCAUUAUGACAACACAGUUGUGGGUCAUUAAAGUUUAAGUGGAUCCAAUAUGGCUGGAACUUGUUUAAAGAUUGUUAAGCUGGAAUGUGUCCACUGAGAAAAUCACAGAGGCUGAAGCUGUUGGAGAAUAUUUGAUGACCUGUUUUUGAAUAUCUCAUCCCCUUUCAUGGAAGGAACUGUACUCAGCUGAACAAUGCAACUGUGUAUGUCCAUAGUUUACAGACAAAUACUGAUAUAUAUGCAAAAACAAAUAUAGUGUGUUAGACAUUGUUUACAAAUUCAUAUUUAGAUAAAGCUUGAACAUAUAAUUGAAGAUUGUUUAAUUUAUUUUCUGCACUGACUGAGAGCUUCACAGACUGCAAUUUAAAAUGUACAAUUUCAGUCUGAUCGAAAACAAUCAGGAUAAGUCUGACCGAAACAGGACAACUUUAAAUUCAUAUUCUUAAUAUAACCAAGAUGGAUACAAAAUUUGCUUUUAAAAACAAAAUAAUAUCCCACCCCCACCCCGAAUUGGAAUUUGGGCAGUAUUUUUUGUAAUACAUGCAUCUUAUAAGUCAUUCAUCUACAUGUAUGACACAUAAACCCAUAUUAUAAUUUUGAUACAAAACCAAAACCUGUUUUUAACAACAGCAAUCCCCCACCCCUGUAAAUUGUGUUGUUAUAAACAAUGGAUGUUUUGGGAAUUUUAAUGGGCAUUGAGUUUGCAUUGCAAAUCUUUUUUAAUGCCAUCAUCACAGAAUCUAGUAUUCAUGGAAAUGAUUGAAAUUAUUUGCAACAAAGUAAUAGAAAAGUGCACUAAUGUACUCAUGGAGAAAGUACUGACACAAGCCAAAAUGCCAUCCAUAUUCAGUUGUUUUUCCCCCUACUAAAGUUGGAUUAAUCGAGAAAUAAUGAAAUGAAAUGAAAGGGUGGUGUACUGGUGUAAGUAGAUUGUGACCUAAGUAACAUCAUCUUUCUGGUACCUUGCAGCUUUAGUUGACACACAAAACAAUUUAGAAAUCGUUAGUACAUAUGUAUGUGGGUAGCUUAUAAAAAUCGGUGUCAAGAAAAUGUUGGGAAAAUAAUGCAUACCCAAUCAUUAAUAUACUACAGUUACAUGUAGCUGUUACAGUUCCUAUUUAAUGUUUCCAUGGAGACAAAACAGUCAGAUUACCAACAUUUUCAUAACAGGACUUUUGGACUAGCUAUCUCUCGUCAAAACUGACUCAACUGAGUAUAAGUAGGUAAAAUACUUGUAGUUUAAAAUGAAAAGAAAUCUAAAUCGCCAACAUAAUGUUUCCAUGGAAGUAAGUUUCCAUAGCAACUAAACUACAAAUUGAAUUUCUUCUUAAUUAGUAUAUUUUAACCAGCCUAUGAAUACAAAGAUAAAGUUAUGAUAUUAUAGAAUAAAUCUACUGAAGUACACGUACAUUAAAUUGUUUUCAAUGAUUAUGGUUGCUGGCCCUAUCGUUUCCAUAGUAACACAUUUUUCUUCAUAUUUUCCCCUUUGUAAUAAUUAAAUUCAAAUGAUUAAACAGAGUCAUAUAAUGCUUUUACAGCAACUACCUAGAGAUAAAUAUGUAAUUUUAUCUUGUGAAAAGUAAAAAUUCUAUUCAAUACAAAGUAAUUCAAAAACAUUUAAAAAAAAAAAUUAAUUUUCAUUUUAAAUGUAAUCUUCUACCAAUGCCGUUUGACUUGAAGAUUUUUUUAAAUGUUUGCUACACCAACUAAUCCAACUUAUGACUAAUCCAUGGAAAUUAUGAAAUUUGUACUUUAUAACAAUUAUUAAGAUUAUGACAGAACACUUUCACUUAAUAAUAGGCACACACAUUUCUGCUUCCUGACACAAAUCAGUUUUAUAGUCAGCACUUUUCUUCAAAACUUAAAGGAACCAUAUAUAUGUAUCUUAUAAUGGUUGCUAUGGUAACAAAAGAAUUAAUCAUUUAUAUUGCUAAUUUAAGCAGACUUUUACAUCAAUUUAUAUGUUCAAAUAUAAUAUGACAAUGAGUUUACACUAUCACAUGGUAAUAAGCAGAGCUGUAAUGCUUUCUGAUACAAAUUAGCAUACUAGUUUACUUAUUAAAACCUUGUUAUAAAAAUACUGAAAUAUGGUUGCUAUGGCAACUGAAAUAUUUCAUAACAUGAGAAUUCAUGAUAUUUAUCAUUGUUUAUGCCAAAUUUAAUAGAUUUUAAGGAUGUUAUAUUGAUAAAUUAUUAAAAUUUGACUCAUAUAUUCAUAUGAGAUUUUUCAUAUUACCAUGGCAACCAAUUUUUCAAGCUAUAUAAUUUUAUUUAGCAAAAUAAGACAUUUGUCGUUUUUUUUUAUAUUUUACACAUAAUGGGAUGAAUUAAAUCAUAUAUAACUUUCA